rnacentral:rRNA from 1 species
UACGUAGGGUGCAAGCGUUGUCCGGAAUUAUUGGGCGUAAAGAGCUCGUAGGCGGUUUGUCGCGUCUGCUGUGAAAACGCGAGGCUCAACCUCGCGCCUGCAGUGGGUACGGGCAGACUAGAGUGUGGUAGGGGAGAUUGGAAUUCCUGGUGUAGCGGUGGAAUGCGCAGAUAUCAGGAGGAACACCGAUGGCGAAGGCAGGUCUCUGGGCCACUACUGACGCUGAGAAGCGAAAGCAUGGGGAGCGAACAGG